AACAGGAUUAGAUACCCUGGUAGUCCACGCUGUAAACGAUGUCGACUUGGAGGUUGUUCCCUUGAGGAGUGGCUUCCGGAGCUAACGCGUUAAGUCGACCGCCUGGGGAGUACGGCCGCAAGGUUAAAACUCAAAUGAAUUGACGGGGGCCCGCACAAGCGGUGGAGCAUGUGGUUUAAUUCGAUGCAACGCGAAGAACCUUACCUACUCUUGACAUCCAGAGAACUUAGCAGAGAUGCUUUGGUGCCUUCGGGAACUCUGAGACAGGUGCUGCAUGGCUGUCGUCAGCUCGUGUUGUGAAAUGUUGGGUUAAGUCCCGCAACGAGCGCAACCCUUAUCCUUUGUUGCCAGCGGUUCGGCCGGGAACUCAAAGGAGACUGCCAGUGAUAAACUGGAGGAAGGUGGGGAUGACGUCAAGUCAUCAUGGCCCUUACGAGUAGGGCUACACACGUGCUACAAUGGCAUAUACAAAGAGAAGCGACCUCGCGAGAGUAAGCGGACCUCAUAAAGUAUGUCGUAGUCCGGAUUGGAGUCUGCAACUCGACUCCAUGAAGUCGGAAUCGCUAGUAAUCGUGGAUCAGAAUGCCACGGUGAAUACGUUCCCGGGCCUUGUACACACCGCCCGUCACACCAUGGGAGUGGGUUGCAAAAGAAGUAGGUAGCUUAACCUUCGGGAGGGCGCUUACCACUUUGUGAUUCAUGACUGGGGUGAAGUCGUAACAAGGUAACC
rnacentral:rRNA from 1 species